rnacentral:rRNA from 1 species
GAUGAACGCUGGCGGCGUGCCUAAUACAUGCCAGUCGAGCGAACGGACGAGAAGCUUGCUUCUCUGAUGUUAGCGGCGGACGGGUGAGUAACACGUGGAUAACCUACCUAUAAGACUGGGAUAACUUCGGGAAACCGUAGCUAAUACCGGAUAAUAUUUUGAACCGCAUGGUUCAAAAGUGAAAGACGGUCUUUCUGUCACUUAUAGAUGGAUCCGCGCUUCAUUAGCUAGUUGGUAAGGUAACGGCUUACCAAGGCAACGAUGCAUAGCCGACCUGAGGGGGUGAUCGGCCACACUGGAACUGAGACACGGUCCAGACUCCUACGGGAGGCAGCAGUAGGGAAUCUUCCGCAAUGGGCGAAAGCCUGACGGAGCAACGCCGCGUGAGUGAUGAAGGUCUUCGGAUCGUAAAACUCUGUUAUUAGGGAAGAACAUAUGUGUAAGUAACUGUGCACAUCUUGACGGUACCUAAUCAGAAAGCCACGGCUAACUACGUG